UACGAAGGGGGCGAGCGUUGUUCGGAUUUACUGGGCGUAAAGGGCGCGCAGGCGGUCUUGAAAGUCAGGCGUGAAAGCCCCGGGCUUAACCUGGGAAUUGCGCUUGAUACUCUGAGACUGGAGUACGGGAGAGGAGAGUGGAAUUCCCAGUGUAGAGGUGAAAUUCGUAGAUAUUGGGAAGAACACCAGUGGCGAAGGCGGCUCUCUGGACCGUAACUGACGCUGAGGCGCGACAGCGUGGGGGAGCAAACAGG
rnacentral:rRNA from 1 species